rnacentral:rRNA from 1 species
UAGGGAAUCUUCGGCAAUGGACGAAAGUCUGACCGAGCAACGCCGCGUGAGUGAAGAAGGUUUUCGGAUCGUAAAACUCUGUUGUUAGAGAAGAACAAGGACGUUAGUAACUGAACGUCCCCUGACGGUAUCUAACCAGAAAGCCACGGCUAACUACGUGCCAGCAGCCGCGGUAAUACGUAGGUGGCAAGCGUUGUCCGGAUUUAUUGGGCGUAAAGCGAGCGCAGGCGGUUUCUUAAGUCUGAUGUGAAAGCCCCCGGCUCAACCGGGGAGGGUAGUUGGAAACUGGGAGACUUGAGUGCAGAAGAGGAGAGUGGAAUUCCAUGUGUAGCGGUGAAAUGCGUAGAUAUAUGGAGGAACACCGGUGGCGAAGGCGGCUCUCUGGUCUGUAACUGACGCUGAGGCUCGAAAGCGUGGGGAGCAAACAGG